UGCAGUGCCCGACAGGACCGCCCACUGGACACCCUGAGAGACUCAGGGCCCUUACAUGAGGCUCCUGAACCAUGAAUGCCCUUGAUGUGGGGCUCGAUGGCAGGUGACAGAGAUGGCAGAGCGAGACAUGAGCAGCAGUCUUCAGAAGCUCUCCACAAAGCUGCCUGGGAAGAGGCCCGUGCGGCCAUUCCGCUGCAGAGUCCCCUUGAACCAGCCAUCUUCAUGCUUCUUGUGCACGAAGACAAUAUCACCCUCCUUUAGCUCGAUCUCUGCUUCACUCUGUGGUGGGUAGGAGACCACCACCCGGUACCUGGGAGGACAGAAGGGACAGCAUGUGAGCCGAGAGGGGACAAAAUAGUGCAAUAGGGGUAACUAUCAAAAUACAUCAUUCUUAUGUAUGCAAAAUGAUAAUGAAGCCCAUUAUGUGGAAUUAAUAAGGCCAUUAAAAAAAGGACAUCCCCUAGGUGUCUUUUAGAGACA